rnacentral:siRNA from 1 species
CCGUCGGGGCAAGAGCCAGG